ACAGGUAUGGCUUAGGUCACAGCUCUCUCUCCCUUGGGUUCAGUCCCUGGUCUCGGAACUUAUCUAUAUGCCAAGGAUGCAGCUGUAAAAGAAAAAGAGAAAAAAAGCAAGGUCUUUUUUUUUUUCCUCCUUAAGCCUGCGGCAUAUGGAAAUUCCCAGGCUAGGGGUUGAAUUGGAGCUGCAGCUGUCAGCCUACGUCAUAGCCACAGCCAUGGCAGAUCUGAACUGCAUCUGCAACCUACACCACAGCUCACAGCAACACUGGAUUACUUUUUUUUUUUUUUUUUUUUUUGUCUUUUUAGGGCUGCACCCUCAGCAUGUGGAGGUUCCCAGGCUAGGGGUCUAAUCGGAGCUGUAGCUGCCAGCCUACACCGCAGCCACAGCAAUGCCAGAUCCGAGCCGAGUCUUCGACCUACACCUUAACCCGCUGAGCAAGGCCAAAAAUUGAACCGGCAACCUAGUCGGAUUUGUUUCCACUGCACCACGACAGGAAAUCCAACACUGGAUUCUUAACCCACUGAUCAAGGCCUGCAUCCUCGUGGAUGUAUUCGGGUUCUUAAUGCACUGAGCCACAACAGGAACUCCAAGAUUUUUUUUUUUCCUUCUGGUCUCACGUAUGGCAUGUGGAAGUUCCUGGGCAAGGGAUCAAACCUGAGCCACAGCUGUGACCCUGGAUUCUUUACCCACUGUACCACCAGAGAACUCUGACAUACAAGAUCUUAAAGUUAACAUAUAGGAGUUCCUGUCGUGGCUCAGCAGAAAUGAAUCAGACUAGUAUCCACAAGGAUGCAGGUUUGAUAUCUGGCCUUGCUCUGGGUUAAGGAUCCGGUGUAACCAUGAGCUGUGUUGUAGGUUGAAGACGAGGCUUGGAUCCCAUGUUCCUGUGGCUCUGGCAUAGAACGGAGGCUACAGCUCCAAUUCAACCCCUAGCCCAGGAACUUCCAUGUGCCACGUGUGUGGCCCUAAAAAGACCAAGAACAAACAAAUUUAUUAAUCAUCUGAUUGGGGGAUCUUAAUUACAUAAUUGUUUAUAGUUGUACAACCAUCAUCACAACCCAGUUUUACAGCAUUUCCAUCCCAAACCCCCAGCCUGUCCCUCCCCAGCAACCUGUCUCCUUUGGUAACCAUAAAUUUUUCAAAGUCUGUGAGUCGGCUUCUAUUCUGCAAAUAAGUUCAUUAUAUCCUUUUUUUAGAUUCCGCAUAUAAGUGAUAUACGGUGUUUGUGUCUCUGUCUUCACUUAGCAUGGCAAUUUCUAGAUACAUGCAUGUUACUGCAAAUGCCAUUAUUUCAUUCCUUUUUAUGCCUGAGUAAUAUUCCAUCUUUAUCUACUCCUCUGUCAAUGGACAUUUAGGUUAUCUCCAUGUCUUGGCUGUUGUAUAUGGUGCUGCAGUGAACACUGGGGUACAUGUAUCUUUUCGAGUCAAGGUUUUCUUUGGGUACAUGCCCAGGAGCGGGAUUGCUAGAUAAAACGACGAGGAAACAGAUUCCAAGAAGCUAAGCAGUUUUGCACAAGACCAUCCAAUUACUGAGGGGCACAGCCAUGAAGCAAAGUCUCCCACGCUAUGUGCCACUGGUUAAAUUAGGAAAACUCCCCUGCUGCAGCCCCAGGCUGUGGUGGGAAACACUCAAGACAAUAAUGGAAUUUGCAAGUGUGUGGCAAACUACAAAUGCUACCACUCCUGCCAUUUACUGGGUAUCUUCAUGUGCCAAAUGCUUAGCACACACUGUCACCUUAAAAAUCUCACAACAAC
rnacentral:lncRNA from 9 species